GUAGUCCUGGCCCUAAACGAUGUCCACUAGAUUGCGGCGGGUUUGACCCCGUCGCGGUCGAAGCAAAAGUGUUAAGUGGACCGCCUGGGAAGUACGGUCGCAAGGCUAAAACUCAAAGGAAUUGACGGGGGCUCACACAAGCGGUGGAGCAUGUGGUUCAAUUCGAAGCAACGCGCAGAACCUUACCUGGGCUUGACAUGCUAGGAUUACCCUCGUGAAAGCGAGGUACGCCCCGCAAGGGGUGGAACUAGUACAGGUGCUGCAUGGCUGUCGUCAGCUCGUGUCGUGAGAUGUCGGGUUAAGUCCCUUAACGAGCGAAACCUUUACCCUUAGUUACCAGCGGGUUAUGCCGGGGACUCUAAGGGGACCGCCGGUGUCAAACCGGA
rnacentral:rRNA from 1 species